CGGGGCGGCGUCCCUCCGCUGGAAGGCUCCGUCGACGAAGACGCCGUUCUUCCCCAGGCAGCGCAGGUUUGAUUCCCUAAAACAGUGGCGUGCACAGUUCCAAGUCCCCGCCCUGCUGCUUGAACAAACAGAUCGGUUGACAGCUCCGUCUCUACUCCCUGGAUUCCUAAGCUGGAUGGAUGAACUGGCGGAGGCUCCCUCUCUUGAGAGACAGACACCCAUGGAGCAAUACGGCUACAGGAUUCCAGAGCAAUCGUGCAUGUCAAGAGAACCGUCUUGAAUGGCAAGGGCAACAUCUGCCUUCAUUGUUGUGAUGAAUUGAUGGUCCCACACAUCCAUCACUCUGCUCAGCUGUCAAG
rnacentral:lncRNA from 1 species